rnacentral:rRNA from 1 species
AGUGAACGCUGGCGGUAGGCCUAACACAUGCCAGUCGAACGGCAGCACAGUAAGAGCUUGCUCUUACGGGUGGCGAGUGGCGGACGGGUGAGGAAUACAUCGGAAUCUACUUUUUCGUGGGGGAUAACGUAGGGAAACUUACGCUAAUACCGCAUACGACCUACGGGUGAAAGCAGGGGAUCUUCGGACCUUGCGCGAUUGAAUGAGCCGAUGUCGGAUUAGCUAGUUGGCGGGGUAAAGGCCCACCAAGGCGACGAUCCGUAGCUGGUCUGAGAGGAUGAUCAGCCACACUGGAACUGAGACACGGACAAGACUCCUACGGGAGGCAGCAGUGGGGAAUAUUGGACAAUGGGCGCAAGCCUGAUCCAGCCAUACCGCGUGGGUGAAGAAGGCCUUCGGGUUGUAAAGACCUUUUGUUGGGAAAGAAAAGCAGCAGGUUAAUACCCCGCUGUUCUGACGGUACCCAAAGAAUAAGCACCGGCUAACUUCGUG